AUUGGUUAAAAAUCACUCCCAGCUUUGGCUGUAGCUGGAAGUGAGAUGCAGCACCUAGAGCCAGCAGGGGCCUCAGCUCACUGCCCACUGCUUUGUGUGUGUGGGGUGAAACCCAAGCCCUGACAGGU
ensembl:snoRNA